GUGGGGAAUAUUGGUCAAUGGCCGAGAGGCUGAACCAGCCAUGCCGCGUGCGGGAGGACGGCCCUAUGGGUUGUAAACCGCUUUUGUUGGGGAGCAAUAAGUGCCACGUGUGGCGCGAUGAGAGUACCCAGCGAAUAAGCAUCGGCUAACUCCGUGCCAGCAGCCGCGGUAAUACGGAGGAUGCGAGCGUUAUCCGGAUUUAUUGGGUUUAAAGGGUGCGUAGGCGGGUUCUUAAGCGUGAGGUGAAAUGCCACGGCUCAACCGUGGAACUGCCUCGCGAACUGGGAGUCUGGAAUGCCCCUGCCGUGGGAGGAAUGUGUGGUGUAGCGGUGAAAUGCAUAGAGAUCACACAGAACACCGAUUGCGAAGGCAUCUCACGAAGGGGUGAUUGACGCUGAGGCACGAAAGCGUGGGGAUCAAACAGG
rnacentral:rRNA from 1 species